AGCAAAAGGGUCCAAAUCAAGCCCUAUCGAAUUGACCUAUAAUCAACAUAAUUCCCUCCUAAAUACACCCCAUAAAUCUUCUAAAUGCAAUAUGAAAUGAAAUAGCUGCAGAUUCUCCAAAGCUAGAAGGCUUUUGACCACAGUUGUCGGAAUUUACCUCUGCAAGCUGAGCAUCUUUAGAGCUCAUAUCCUCUUUGGGCACGAGUUCUUUUGAUGAGGAGUUGACUAAUUCCAUGUUUCUGUUGUCAUUAGGAAAUAAGACUUCAUUUUCUUUCAAUGGCUCUUUACUCUCAUUAUCCAGGUGAGGUAAGGAUAGACCGACUCCACAGUUUUAUCCAUGACAACAACAGAAUGUACAGAUUGUGUUGUAUGAGAGUCAACUAAGGCAAUUGUAGUCAAGGACAAAGAUACUAGUACCCUAGAUCUAUUACCUGUAACGUCUACAGAAUGAAGAGAUUCUGUUGUAUCAGAGCCAGUGGGGACUAUUUCAGUGAACUGGUCAUUUGAAUCAUCAGGAGUUUCAAAUUUAUUGAGGCAAAAGUUUCUUUUGUAAUUUUGUGUAAAAACCAUUAUUAUCACUAUAUCUCAUUAAGCAAGGGUGGAAUUUCGUAUGCAUCAUGCAUGAUGACAGUAGUA
rnacentral:misc_RNA from 1 species